UACGUAGGGUGCAAGCGUUAAUCGGAAUUACUGGGCGUAAAGCGUGCGCAGGCGGUGAUGUAAGACAGGUGUGAAAUCCCCGGGCUUAACCUGGGAACUGCAUUUGUGACUGCAUCGCUGGAGUGCGGCAGAGGGGGAUGGAAUUCCGCGUGUAGCAGUGAAAUGCGUAGAUAUGCGGAGGAACACCGAUGGCGAAGGCAAUCCCCUGGGCCUGCACUGAUGCUCAUGCACGAAAGCGUGGGGAGCAAACAGG
rnacentral:rRNA from 1 species